UACAGAGGUCUCAAGCGUUGUUCGGAUUCAUUGGGCGUAAAGGGCGCGUAGGCGGCGGGGUAAGUCGGGUGUGAAAUCUUGGAGCUUAACUCCGAAACUGCAUUCGAUACUGCCGUGCUUGAGGACUGGAGAGGAGACUGGAAUUUACGGUGUAGCGGUGAAAUGCGUAGAUAUCGUAAGGAAGACCAGUGGCGAAGGCGGGUCUCUGGACAGUUCCUGACGCUGAGGCACGAAGGUCAGGGGAGCAAACGGG
rnacentral:rRNA from 1 species